GUCCGAGUGUUUACACGAGUCAGAGCUGUGCUUGUGUGCGCGCGUGCGGGAGUGAGAGAGCGAGAGUGAGCAUGCGUCGCUGUGGGAUCGCUGCCGCUGCCGCGCGACACAUUGAGAAAUAAAUCCGAAGACCGAGAGGAGCGACCGGCGUCCAGCUAUGGGAGGCCAAAUCACCCGUAACGCCUUGUAUGAUUCUCUGGGUGGCCCAUUCCCUCCAUCCUCUCACCGAUGCCACCAGAAGCCAAAGCGCUGCUUGCCCUUACAGCCGUGCAUGGGCGUCCCCGUCAGCCCGCUGCUCUUCCACCCCAGCGCCAAGGGCUCACAGAUCAUCAUGGACAUGGGCCAGAGGACGGUCAAAAGACAAGCCAGCUUUUGCAACGCUAUCACCUUCAGCAACAGACCCAUCGCCCUGUAUGAACAGGUCCGCCUCAAGAUCACGAAGAAGCAGUGCUGUUGGAGUGGUGCCCUGCGCCUGGGCUUCACCUCCAAAGACCCAUCACGCAUCAACCCAGACAGCUUGCCCAAGUACGCAUGCCCAGACCUGGUGUCUCAGAACGGUUUCUGGGCUAAAGCACUACCAGAGGAACUAGCCAAUGAGGGCAACCUCGUCGCCUUCUGGGUGGACAAGAAAGGCCGAGUCUUCUACCGCGUCAAUGGCUCCAGUCCCAUGCUAUUCUUCAGCGGUGUGCGCACCGCCGAUUCCCUCUGGGCACUCAUCGAUGUCUAUGGCCUGACUCGAGGAGUCCAGCUGCUCGAUAGUGAGAUCAUCCCUCCAGACUGUCUCCGUCCACGCUCCUUCACUGCAGUACGAGGCUCCUCAUCCCUGCGACGUGAGGCGGAGUCCUCCCGCCUGUCCGUCAGCCUCUGCGACCUCAACCUAGCACGAGACGAGGCCAGACUCCGCCUGCCAUCCACAUCCAUCACCACCUCCCGCCCCAUUCCACAGAAUUCUCUGAACUCGUUCCUCCCAGCCGCCCUGGAAAGCGAGCUGCGUUUCCAUCCACUGCGUGGCAGCCACCUCAAAGCCGUGGACGAGCAGACAGUGGCACGCUGCAGUCACGGGCAUGAAGAAGAGGGCACACUGGUGUUCACCGAGCGCCCAAUGCGCCUCUCAGAGACCAUCUACAUCACAGUGAGCAAGUCAAGCCUGGCUCGCUCAUGCUCACUCUCCUACGGUGUGACCUCGUGUGACCCCGCCACGCUGCGCCCAAUGGAGCUUCCCUCUAACCCAGAGGAGCUGGUGGAUCGCAAGGAAUUCUGGGCUGUGUGCAAGGUGCCCUCUUCGCUCCACUCUGGAGAUGUCCUGAGCUUCCUGCUCACACAGGAAGGAGAGUUGAUCCUGAGCCAGAACGGCACCAGUGCAGGCAUGCAGGCAUGUGUCGAUAACUCCCGCCCACUUUGGAUGUUCUUUGGGCUGCAUGGUGCCAUCACGCAACUAAGGAUUUUGGGCUCUAUCCACCCAAGCGAUACUCAAGGCCCAUCCAGCCCGAGCUCACCCUCUUCUUCCUCACCUCACUCUCUGGGAGCAGGACUGUGCAGUGGCAGCUCAGAGCCAACGAUAAACGCAGGCUGCUCUGGAGCGUUCUGCACCUCCAUCACAGGAACAAGCCCAAGCUCACCCAUCCACCUCUCCAAGUCCCCCACCUUCCCAUCAUCCUCCAGCUCCUGGCUGGAUGAGUGCUCCAUCUGCUACGAGAACGCAGUGGACACGGUUAUCUAUGCGUGUGGUCACAUGUGCCUGUGCUACAGCUGCGGCCUGCGCCUCAAAAAGAUGGCCAACGCCUGCUGUCCGAUCUGCAGGAGGGCUAUUAAAGACAUUAUAAAGACCUACCGGAGCACAUAGAAGCCACUUCUGUAAUCCACCAUGCGAUGGCCCAGGAGGGCUAAAACAAAAGACACAUAAUGAGACCCUUACAUAUGGGAAAGAGGUUUCUGGUUCAGGGACAUACUUCAUGGCCUUUCAUGGUUCCCAUGGUGAUGAAUUUGAACCUUUAAAGGCUCAAGCAUCCAUCCGCAAAAAGGUCUCUUACAGUUUCAUGAGCAAGGCUUUGUUGCUAUGGUAACCAGUCGUGACGCUGCUCAGGAAAGGAGGCUUCUGACUAAAGCUCUCCACAGGAGAUGCGAAUCUGUAAAUAGCCUCAAGCAAAUCAGGAAGUUCCAGGAGACAUUAAUGUCUGAAAUGUUAAUAUCUCCAUCUUAUUUUCAACACUUUCAACUCUUUUUGAGCCAUAAGAGACUGGAAGAGUCUCGUCUGUUUGCAGAAGUGGAAAGCUGGAAACCGUAUUGACCGUAUGAAAGAUACAAAAAUGGAUCUUUUUUUUUUUCCUUCAACCUGUUGGCUGCCCUUAAAAACUCACUUUUCUGUCAGAUUCAUGUUCGAUGUUUCAGUGUCCCAGUUUCUGUCUGUGUACAGCUGACAUUAAGUGAGAGAGAAAACAAACACACAUGUACAGUAUGCCCCAAGCCUCGUGCUCUCAGAGUUAAUGCUUAAGCUACUAUUCUGAAUAACUUGCUAAUGCUACGUGCUUUGAAGUCAGUGUUGAUGUACUGAAUUGAUGAAAGGACCUUCAAGCACUGAUGACAGUACAAUGCUGUGUUAAGCAAUGUAAUGUGAAUCCUCGGUUCCCUGCUGAAACACACAGAAAUUCCACGUGAGAAGCUGGUGCUGCUGGUGUAUUACGGACGUGCCUGAUUAUUUGAACUCCUGUUAAUCAUGGCUUACUUUAUCAGGUGUUUAAAUAAGAUCUGAGUGGGAUAAAUUUGAAAUAAAUCGAGUAUUAUGGCAUUUUUAAGCUAAGCAUAAGUGUGAAAUAGGCAAAAUUACAGCUUCUAAGUAGCGACAUGGAGUUAGCUACACUUAGCUACCAGCGAUGUCUGUCACGCGACUAUUAUGAUGAUGUUAUACUAGUGUACUUAAAUAAUGUACUGUUAACAGGACCACACGUUAUAACAGCAUUAUUAGAAAGUCAAAGAUAUUUUUUUGUAAGUGGCAAAUAAGCUGGUUGCUCUGCUGAUGUUUCCUGUGGAGGUUUGAUACGUGUGGUGGUUUUGGGAAACCCCAGCAGUUAUCACUGUGGCUGUGAGUUCUGGUCAAAAAUCAGGUUCAGAAUCAACUUUUUGUUUUGUUUUGUUUUUUAGAAACCAUUAAUAUAUUUCACCAAAAUGACAUGGAAAUGUUUUUAUUUGCUUUCUAAUCUGUUUGGAUAUCUUCCUGCAGAAGCUAAAUCACAGAAGCUAAUGAGCCACUUUAACCCGAACCCUAACCCAAGGAGGCAAUGAGUCAUUUGUCUAGAAUUAAAAUGGAUUUUUGGGGGGUUAGCACCAUUUGAUUUACACAACAUGCCUACCACUUUAAAGGUGAAAAUUGUUGUUUUAUUGUGACACAAACAAUAAUUAAGAUGAAAAAACAGAAAUCUGGAGUGUGCAUAGGUAUUCACCCCCCAAAGUCAAUACUUCGUAGAGCCACCUUUUGCUGCAAUUACAGCUGCAAGUCUCUUGGGGUAUGUCUCUAUUAGCUUAGCACAUCUAGCCACUGGGAUUUUUGCCCAUUCCUCAAGGCAACACUGCUCCAACUCCUUCAAGUUAGAUGGGUUGCGUUGGUGUACAGCAAUCUUCAAGUUAUGCCACAGAUUCUCAAUUGGAUUGAGGUCUGGGCUUUGAUUAGGCCAUUCCAAGACAUUUACAUGUUUCUCUUUAAACCACUCCAGUGUAGCUUUAGCAGUAUGUUUACGGUCAUUGUCCUGCUGGAAUGUGAACCUUCGUCCAAGUCUCAAAUCUCUGGCCGACUCAAACAGGUUUUCCUCCAGAACUGCCCUGUAUUUAGUGCCAUCCAUCUUUCCUUCAGCUUUCCUGUCCCUGCAGAUGAAAAACAUCCCCACAGCAUGAUGCUGCCACCACCAUGCUUCACUGUAGGAAUGGCGUUCUCAGGGUGUUGGGUUUGCACCACACAUGGUAUUUCCCAUGAUGGCCAAAAAGUUCAGUUUUACACUACGUUCAGACUGCAACCUGAAACGACCCAUAUCCGAUUUGUUGUGAAAUACGAUUUUUUUUGUUAGGCCGGUCACAUUACCAAUUAUAUGAGACUUGUAUGCGAUCUCCAAUAUGAACGGAAAACGACCCAAAAGUGUCCCGCAUGCGCAAAUUGACACGUAAUAAGCACAUCUACGUAAUACGUAAACCAAAAAAAGGCGCACUCUUCAUGUUUAAUGAUUUCUUUUUUGUUUGUUUGUUUAAUUAUCUGGUUAGUGUUAAAGUGUGAGGUCUCGUGUGUGUUUUUGUUUCUGAACUGAAAUGAAAACGUGUAGCCUGGUAACGAGGGUUGACUCCUAAAUGUCUCUCUAAUUUCUAUAUAAGUGCACUACAUGUUACUAGGAAGUAAUGGAUUUUUAAACUCUAUAUAGUGCACUCGAGCUUCAGUAGGCAGUCAUUUGGGAUACGGCUGCUGUAUUACCAAACUCUUAAUUCAGGCUUAAUAAUUUGCAUAUAUUUAUUUCGUCAUAUUAAUAAACUUUUUCUACAUUUUUAUAAAUAUUUGUUUAGAUUGUUUAUAGCCAGCUGAAUUCUGUAACUUCUCUCAUAGCUGGCUCAAGGUGCAGAAACACCAGUGCAGUUUGCUAUCACCGGAUCCAGUGUAAAUAGCUGCCGGAGCCAACGUCCGAGGUUCCGGAGCGCGCUCCGGCUUGCUCCCCCUCAAAUUAAGCCCAGAUUAGCUUGAUCAAUUCUAUAAAAGUCUAUUUAAAUUCUGAAAACUGUACAAACGUUGUUGUUUUCCACCAAAGAGGCGGGAUUAGCCAACGCAGAAUAGUGACGUUUGCCUCUUGUUGACAUGUAGGUCGCAUGAAUGCGACCUGUCCAGUCAGACUGCAGUCACAUGUGAAAAUAUCGGAUAUGCAUCGGAUUUAGGACCACAUAUCCAAGCGGCCUGGGUUGCAUGUGAAAAAAUCGGAUCUGUGUCGUUCAGAUUGUCAAUAACAAAUCGGAUACAGGUCGCAUAUGGGCAAAAAAAUCGGAUAUGGGUCGUUUCAGGGUGCAGUCUGAACGUAGUCCUAGUCUCAUCUGACCAGAGAAUCUUCUUCCAUGCUGUUGGGCAAACUCCAGAUAUGUUUUCUUAAGCAAUGGCUUUUUUCUGGCCACUCUUCCAUAAAGCCCCGCUCUGUGGAGUGUAUGGCUUAAAGUGGUCCUCUGGACAGAUACUCCCAUCUCCGCUGUGGAUCUUUGCAGCUCCUUCAGUGUUAUCUUUGGUGUCUUUGUUGCGUCUCUGAUUAAUGCCCUCCUUGCCUGGUCUGUGAGUUUUGGUGGGUGGCCUUCUCUUGUCAGGUUUGUAGUGGUGCCAUAUUCUUUCCAUUUUGCUAUAAUGGAUUUAAUGGUGCUCCAUGGGAUAUUCAAAGUUUGGGAUAUUUUUUAUAACCCAACCCUGAUCUAUAUUUCUCCACAACUUUGUCUCUGACCUGUUUGGAGGCUCCUUGGUUCUCAUGUUGCUUGCUUAGUAGUGUUGCAGAGUCAGGGUCCUUCCAGAACAGCUUGAUUUAUACAGACAUCUUGUGACAGAUCAUGUGACACUUUGCACACAGGUGGAUCUUAAUCAACUAAUUAUGUGACUUAUGAAGUGAAUUGGUUGCACCAGCUCUUAUUUAGGGGUUUCAUACGAAAGGGGGUGCUCAUUUUAAUUAUUGUUUGUGUCACAUUAAAAAAAAAAAAAAAAAACAGUUUUCACCUUUAAAGUGGUCGACAUGUUGUAUAAAUCAAAUGGUGCUAACCCUCCAAAAAUCCAUUUUAAUUUCAGCUUGUAAUGCGACAAAACAGGACAAACACCAAGGGGGAUGAAUCCCAUUGGUUUGACUGAGAGGUGGGCGUCGUUAAUAGUAGAGGGAUUAUGGUAGCUCUCUAGAAUUGUUCCAUUAAUUAUUAAAUGUUAGAGUGGAAAAAAAGGCUAGGAAUGUAAAUUCAUCUAAAUGGCUGAAGUGCCCUUGAGCAAGGAUAAGGACGUCUGUAAUGUAAUGUAAUGUAACAUAAGGUAGGCCAUGCAGAAAUGCACGUGGCCUGGAUUGACAGCUCUUGAAGCAACACUUUUACAGUGAACUCAGGGUUACUAUCUACUGUAAAUGUCAUGCUUUGAAUACGUUGCAGGAUAGUUUUAUAGUGAAAUGGACAUAACCCUAAUCGAUUCUGUUUGGAAUCGGAUACUGACUGUCAGAAUGUCCGUGAUGCUGUUGCGCUGUAGUCGGAAUGAAAAGCUAUCUUUCCUUUUCCACUUUUGUAAAUAAGUAGAUUUGUUCAGAAUAACACAGAGAAGAAAAUAUCACAAUGAAGGGUUUUCCGUGCCACCACAGAUAAUCAAACACAAUGCAGGGUUUUUUUUUUUUUUUUAAAGUUUGCCUUUUAUAUAGGAUUUUUGAAAUUGGAAAUUCUUAGAGUUCUUAAAUCCAGAGUCCACGUCUACAUCAGUUUGGAACGAUUACAUGGUAGUUAUGACUGCACACAGUAAAUGAUAAGGUUAUAUUAGACCUUAUAAUCUCAUCUCAUUAUCUGUAGCCGCUUUAUCCUUCUACAGGGUCGCAGGCAAGCUGGAGCCUAUCCCAGCUGACUACGGGCGAA